rnacentral:ncRNA from 1 species
GGCCCUGUAAUUGGAAUGAGUACACUUUAAAAGCUUUAACGAGUAUCCAUUGGAGGGCAAGUCUGGUGCCAGCAGCCGCGGUAAUUCCAGCUCCAAAAGUAUAUAUUUAAGUUGUUGCGGUUAAAAAGCUCGUAGUUGGAUUUUGGGCGCAGGCGGCCGGUCCGUCGCAAGGCGUGUACUGGACGUCCUGGCCUUCCCUCCGGUUCUCCGCCGGUGCUCUUGACUGAGUGUCGGCGGCGGCCGGAACGUUUACUUUGAAAAAAUUAGAGUGUUCAAAGCAGGCUCUCGAGCCUGGAUAAUGGUGCAUGGAAUAAUGGAAUAGGACCUCGGUUCUAUUUUGUUGGUUUUCGGAGCGCGAGGUAAUGAUUAAGAGGGACAGACGGGGGCAUUCGUACUGUGCCGUUAGAGGUGAAAUUCUUGGAUCGGCGCAAGACGAACGACUGCGAAAGCAUUUGCCAAGAAUGUUUUCUUUAAUCAAGAGCGAAAGUCAGAGGUUCGAAGACGAUCAGAUACCGUCCUAGUUCUGACUAUAAACGAUGCCAACUAGCGAUCGGGGGGCGUUACAUUGACGACCCCUCCGGCAGCUUACGGGAAACCAAAGUCUUUGGGUUCCG